GACGAACGCUGGCGGCGUGCCUAAUACAUGCAAGUCGAGCGGACAGAAGGGAGCUUGCUCCCGGAAGUUAGCGGCGGACGGGUGAGUAACACGUGGGCAACCUACUCUGUAGAUCGGGAUAACAUCGAGAAAUCGGUGCUAAUACCGGAUAAUCAUUUGAAGUGCAUGCUUCGAAUGUAAAAGAUGGCUCCGGCUAUCACUACGGGAUGGGCCCGCGGCGCAUUAGCUAGUUGGUAAGGUAAUGGCUUACCAAGGCAACGAUGCGUAGCCGACCUGAGAGGGUGAUCGGCCACACUGGGACUGAGACACGGCCCAGACUCCUACGGGAGGCAGCAGUAGGGAAUCUUCCGCAAUGGACGAAAGUCUGACGGAGCAACGCCGCGUGAGUGAUGAAGGUUUUCGGAUCGUAAAGCUCUGUUGUCAGGGAGGAACAAGUGCCGUUUGAAUAAGGCGGCACCUUGACGGUACCUAACCAGAAAGCCACGGCUAACUACGUGCCAGCCGCCGCCGUAAGAC
rnacentral:rRNA from 1 species